rnacentral:ncRNA from 2 species
UGGUCCGAGCACGGGAGCCCUGCGCAGGGCUGAGAGGGCGCGGCGGCGCCGACCGUCGAACCUGAUCUGGGUCAUGCCAGCGAAGGGAGCACACCAUGCAACGCG